rnacentral:rRNA from 1 species
GGGUCAGUAGGUUGGUCGUGCCACCGGUACACACUGGUCUCACUGAUUCCUCCUUCCUGAAGAACCGUAAUGCCAUUAAUUUGGUGUUGCGGGGAAACAGGACUGUUACUUUGAAAAAAUUAGAGUGUUUAAAGCAAGCUAACGCUUGAAUACAUUAGCAUGGAAUAAUGAAAUAGGACGAUCGAUCCUAUUUUGUUGGUUUCUAGGAUUGACGUA